rnacentral:RNase_P_RNA from 1 species
GGGAGCGGCAGGGCGGCUGCGGGAAUUCAAUUUCCUGAGGAAAGUCUCCCCACCCUCUUUCAAAUUUGCGGAUGUUUGUGAAGAACAUUUGGCGAGAGUCAAGGCUAUGGCACAGAAACGAUACCGGGCCGUGUUUGCGAUGAUGUGAAAAACUGAGGCGCACGGCGCACGGAUGCAACGGUAAAACCCCGCAGGUGCAAGUUGUAUCGGGAGUACGCGUUCGAUUUGAAAGCGCGCCUGAUGUUAAAAGACGCACAGCCGAAUGCCGCCGUACAUUUCAUAAAAUUCAAUUUUAUUGAUGAAUCA